ACUUGUGAAGUGGUUUAUGUUGAGAGCUCCAUCUCAGACCGCAUGGUUGUCACUAUGCCAAUAAUUUAGGAACUUUCACCACUUUGUAACGAAGCCAAGUUUUUCUGCCUGUGCAACUUUCUGAAGCAUAAGAAUCUGACCUUUCAAGGGUUUCGUGCUCUAUCCUGUAGACUCAUCAGCAAUGACAAGAACUGUCACCGUCAGGAAUGACAAGCAUUGUUGAUGGCUCCAACAAAAUAAAAAAAAAAUGUUUGGGAA